AUUGAACGCUGGCGGCAGGCCUAACACAUGCAAGUCGAACGGUAGCACAGAGAGCUUGCUCUCGGGUGACGAGUGGCGGACGGGUGAGUAACGUCUGGGAAACUGCCCGAUGGAGGGGGAUAACUACUGGAAACGGUAGCUAAUACCGCAUAACGUCGCAAGACCAAAGUGGGGGACCUUCGGGCCUCACACCAUCGGAUGUGCUCAGAUGGGAUUAGCUAGUAGGUGGGGUAAUGGCUCACCUAGGCGACGAUCCCUAGCUGGUCUGAGAGGAUGACCAGCCACACUGGAACUGAGACACGGUCCAGACUCCUACGGGAGGCAGCAGUGGGGAAUAUUGCACAAUGGGCGCAAGCCUGAUGCAGCCAUGCCGCGUGUAUGAAGAAGGCCUUCGGGUUGUAAAGUACUUUCAGCGGGGAGGAAGGCGGUGAAGUUAAUAGCUUAACCGAUUGACGUUACCCGCAGAAGAAGCACCGGCUAACUCCGUGCCAGCCGCCGCAGUAA
rnacentral:rRNA from 1 species